UUCCUGGUGGUUCAGUGGCUAAAACUGCAUGCUCCCAAAGCAUGGGGCCCAGGUUUGAUCCCUGGUCCAGAAA
rnacentral:tRNA from 1 species